ensembl:lncRNA
CUUUACUUUUGUUUUCUUAAAAGUGAAAUGUUUUCAGGUUCUUCAUCGAUACAGUGCCUUCAGAAAGUACAGUAGUCAUAACCUUUGACCCUGAAAUCAAAAUGGAUUCAAUUUAUAUAUUUUUUUAUCUCACCCAUCUACACACAAAACUCCAUAAUGACAAAGUGAAAAUGUGUUUAGAAAUUUUAGCAAACGUGUUGAAAAAGAAAUGAGCUGAAAUAUCUCAUGUAUUCACACCUUAAACACAAGAUCAAAUCUACACUAGAGUUGCGACCAAGACAGUGGAUGUUCCUGACUAGAUAGUUUAGUUUAGACUUACAUCUACUUGAACAUCUAUGGAAAGACCUAUAAUAAAAAAAAUGGCUGUCUAGCAAUGAUCAACAACCAAUUUGCCAGAGCGUGAAUAAUUCUCACCCAUCUACACACAAUACCCCAUAAUGACAAAGUGAAAACCUUAAUGGUCAAUACUUUGUAUAAGCACCUUUGGCAGUGAUUAAAGCUGCUAGGCUUUCUGGGUAAAUCUCUUAAGAGCUUUCCACACCUGGAUUGUGCAACAUUUGCCCAUUUAUUCUUUUCAAAAUUCUUCAAGCUCUGUCAAAUUGGUUGUUGAUCAUUGCUACUCAACUAUUUUCAGGUCUUGACAUAGAUUGUGAAGUAGAUUUAGGUCAGCAGUAACUCGGCCACUCAGGAACAUUCACGGUCUUCUUGGUAAGCAACUCCAGUGUAGAUUUUGGCCUUGUGUUUUAGGUUUAUUGUCCUGAUGAAAGGUGAACUCCUCUCCCAGUGUCUGGUGGAAAGCAGACUGAACCAGGUUUUCCUCUAGAAUUCUUCCUGUGUUUAGCUCCAGUCUGUUUAUUUUUUUAUCCUGAAAAACUCCCCAGUCCUUAACAAUUACAAGCAUACCCAUAACAUGAUGCAGCCACCACUAUGCUUGAAAAUAUGGAGAGUGGUACUCAGUAAUGUGUUGUAUUGGAUUUGCCCCAAACGUAACACUUUGUAUUCAGGACAAAAAGUUAAUUUCUUUGCCACAUUUUUGCAGUGUUACUUUAGUGCCUUGUUGCAAACAAGAUGCAUGCUUUGGAAUAUUGUGUGUUGGACAGUGUCAAACACAAUGAAUUUAAUCCAUUUUAAAUUCAGGCUGUAACACAACAAAAUGUGGACAAAGUCCAGGGGUCCUUCCUGAAGUAUUCCACACAAAUAUAGAUCUAAUAUCAUUGGGUAUCAGAUGAUUUCUGCUCGAAUCUCACUGGACAGCAGAAACGCUGCCUUUCUGCCUCCUCCCAGUGCAAACGGACGAUACAGCAACAUCUUCGGGUCACUUCCCCUCUGCAAAGAAUCCAGAUUCAAACAGAACAGAAACACCUUGAAUAUGUAGGGAACCUUUUACCUCUCAACUAAAAACCUUCUGUCUGUCAGAAACAUCCUCUGACCACAGCCCUGCCUCUCCUGUUUCCCCACAUCUACAACCUUCUGCCUGUCAGCAACAUCCUCUGACCACAGCCCUGCCUCUCCUGUUUCCCCACAUCUAAAACCUUCUGUCUGUCAGCAACAUCCUCUGACCACAGCCCUGCCUCUCCUGUUUCCACACAUCUACAACCUUCUGUCUGUCAGCAACAUCCCUGACCACAGCCCUGCCUCUCCUGUUUCCACAC